AACGAACGCUGGCGGCAGGCUUAACACAUGCAAGUCGAACGCCCCGCAAGGGGAGUGGCAGACGGGUGAGUAACGCGUGGGAAUCUACCCAGUUCUACGGAACAACACAGGGAAACUUGUGCUAAUACCGUAUACGCCCUAAGGGGGAAAGAUUUAUCGGAAUUGGAUGAGCCCGCGUUGGAUUAGCUAGUUGGUGGGGUAAUGGCCUACCAAGGCGACGAUCCAUAGCUGGUCUGAGAGGAUGAUCAGCCACACUGGGACUGAGACACGGCCCAGACUCCUACGGGAGGCAGCAGUGGGGAAUAUUGGACAAUGGGCGCAAGCCUGAUCCAGCCAUGCCGCGUGAGUGAUGAAGGCCUUAGGGUUGUAAAGCUCUUUCAGUAGGGACGAUAAUGACGGUACCUACAGAAGAAGCCCCGGCUAACUUCGUGCCAGCAGCCGCCGUAACAC
rnacentral:rRNA from 1 species